GGAGAAGUACCCAAGCAUGGUUGAAGGGAUCGGUCUCGAAAACCGACAGGAGCUUAACGGCUCGCGGGGGUUCAAAUCCCUUCUUCUCCGUCA
rnacentral:tRNA from 3 species